rnacentral:rRNA from 1 species
CCUACGGGUGACAGCAGUGAGGAAUAUUGGUCAAUGGGCGCGAGCCUGAACCAGCCAAGUCGCGUGAGGGAAGACGGUCCUAUGGAUUGUAAACCUCUUUUGUCGGGGAGCAAAAGACGCCACGCGUGGCGUUCCGAGAGUACCCGAAGAAAAAGCAUCGGCUAACUCCGUUCCAGCAGCCGCGGUAAUACGGAGGAUGCGAGCGUUAUCCGGAUUUUUUGGGUUUAAAGGGUGCGCAGACGGAAGAUGAAGUCAGCGGUAAAAUUGAGAGGCUCAACCUCUUCGAGCCGUUGAAACUGGUGUUCUUGAGUGGGCGAGAAGUAUGCGGAAUGCGUGGUGUAGCGGUGAAAUGCAUAGAUAUCACGCAGAACUCCGAUUGCGAAGGCAGCAUACCGGCGCUCAACUGACGCUCAUGCACGAAAGUGUGGGUAUCGAACAGGAUUAGAUACCCGGGUAGUC